GCAGUUGAAAAGCCCCGCUCCAAUCGCGUCACGGUCGCCUGGCCCCGCCCCCGUCUCCAUGGAAACCCGCACCGCCGAACCACUUGUCAGCAGCUGCUCUGGAGCCUGGCGCCUGCCUUGCGCGCCCUGUUUGCCUCACGCGGACGGUGCUGCCCAGGCUGUCCCCGACUCAAGACACCGUAAUGUCUAUCCACCGGUCGACUCCUGGGCCCCUUCCCCGCGGGGCGGGCAGUAGGGCACGGCGGGGGAUCUUCUAAACAGCAUCAACUAGAUUGCAGCCAUCUGACCCCUGCUCACUUCAACAGCAUUCAUUUCUCCUUCACCUCUGCUCAUUUUUGGAUCUUUCGGCAUUUUCCCCAAAUACACCAGCCUUCCCCUGCUUCUGUGGUUCAGCUGGGCUGCCUCCCUCUGAUACCCUCUUCCAGUGCUUAUUGUCUGGGCCAAUGAUUCUUCAGUUCAUCACAUCCAGCUCAGCACAGACCGAGGUGUUCAGGAAGUGCUUGUGGAGUCAAGGCAUGAAAUAAGCUAUGUGGGCCCAGGGCAAGAGGAGUGGCAUGAGGCAGUCCCUGAACAUCGUAGUCUGUACUCCACUUCCCGGACUUGUGGCUCCCUGGAUGAGCAGAGUAGGAAGAAGAGGAAUUUGAGAUCCCAGCCUCUCAUGUGAGGACAAAAGGAGAAGUAAAUUAUGGUAAUAUAUGUUCUGGUAAGAUGUGACAUGUGUGAAUCACUAGUUCAUUCAUUCAGUAAAACUAUAUUCUGUGCCUACUAUGAGCCAGGCACUGUGAUAAACUCUGGGGCUAGAGUUGUGGACCAAAGGAUAAGGCCCUUUUCUCACAGAACUCACAUUCCACUCGAGGUGAUGGAGACAGGGGUAGGGCAGACAACAAGCAAGGAAACCAGAAAUUAUAGGAGGCCAUUGAAAAUAACAAUAAAUGU